UACGGGGGGGGCAAGCGUUGUUCGGAAUUACUGGGCGUAAAGGGCUCGUAGGCGGCCAACUAAGUCGGAUGUGAAAUCCCCAAGCUUAACUUGGGAACUGCAUCCGAUACUGGAUGGCUUGAAUCCGGGAGAGGGAUGCAGAAUUCCAGGUGUAGCGGUGAAAUGCGUAGAUAUCUGGAGGAAUACCGAUGGCGAAGGCAGCCUCCUGGGCCAACACUGACGCUCAUGCACGAAAGCGUGGGGAGCAAACAGG
rnacentral:rRNA from 1 species